rnacentral:rRNA from 1 species
ACUAGUGAUUUUUGAGCGGGGGACAACAUUUGGAAACGAAUGCUAAUACCGCAUAACAACUUUAAACACAAGUUUUAAGUUUGAAAGAUGCAAUUGCAUCACUCAAAGAUGAUCCCGCGUUGUAUUAGCUAGUUGGUGAGGUAAAGGCUCACCAAGGCGAUGAUACAUAGCCGACCUGAGAGGGUGAUCGGCCACAUUGGGACUGAGACACGGCCCAAACUCCUACGGGAGGCAGCAGUAGGGAAUCUUCGGCAAUGGACGAAAGUCUGACCGAGCAACGCCGCGUGAGUGAAGAAGGUUUUCGGAUCGUAAAACUCUGUUGGUAGAGAAGAACGUUGGUGAGAGUGGAAAGCUCAUCAAGUGACGGUAACUACCCAGAAAGGGACGGCUAACUACGUGCCAGCAGCCGCGGUAAUACGUAGGUCCCGAGCGUUGUCCGGAUUUAUUGGGCGUAAAGCGAGCGCAGGUGGUUUAUUAAGUCUGGUGUAAAAGGCAGUGGCUCAACCAUUGUAUGCAUUGGAAACUGGUAGACUUGAGUGCAGGAGAGGAGAGUGGAAUUCCAUGUGUAGCGGUGAAAUGCGUAGAUAUAUGGAGGAACACCGGUGGCGAAAGCGGCUCUCUGGCCUGUGACUGACACUGAGGCUCGAAAGCGUGGGGAGCAAACAGGAUUAGAUACCCUGGUAGUCCACGCCGUAAACGAUGAGUGCUAGAUGUAGGGAGCUAUAAGUUCUCUGUAUCGCAGCU